CCUACGGGCGGCAGCAGUGGGGAAUAUUGCACAAUGGGGGAAACCCUGAUGCAGCGACGCCGCGUGAGUGAAGAAGUAAUUCGUUAUGUAAAGCUCUAUCAGCAGGGAAGAAAAUGACGGUACCUGAGUAAGACGCCCCGGCUAACUACGUGCCAGCAGCCGCGGUAAUACGUAGGGGGCAAGCGUUAUCCGGAUUUACUGGGUGGAAAGGGAGCGUAGACGGCAGUGCAAGUCUGGAGUGAAAGGCGGGGGCUCAACCCCCGGACUGCUCUGGAAACUGUACGGCUGGAGUGCAGGAGAGGUAAGUGGAAUUCCUAGUGUAGCGGUGAAAUGCGUAGAUAUUAGGAGGAACACCAGUGGCGAAGGCGGCUUACUGGACUGUAACUGACGUUGAGGCUCGAAAGCGUGGGGAGCAAACAGGAUUAGAUACCCCUGUAGUC
rnacentral:rRNA from 1 species